rnacentral:lncRNA from 1 species
UCUUAUAGUUGUCUGUUUUUCCUUGGUGUUGUCUGUUUUUUUUUGGUGUUGUUUGUUUUUCCUUGGUGUUGUCUGUUUUAUUUUGGUGUUGUCUGUUUUGUCUUGCUGUUGUCCGUUUUGUCUUGGUGUUGUUCGUUUUGUCUUACUGUUGUCCGUUUUGUCUUGCUGUUGUCUGUUUUGUCUUAUAGUUGUUUGUUUUUCCUUGGUGUUGUCUGUUUUUUCUUGGUGUUGUAUGUUUUAUUUUGGUGUUG